GACGAACGCUGGCGGCGUGCUUAACACAUGCAAGUCGAACGGAAAGGCCCUGCGUUUGUGGGGUUCUCGAGUGGCGAACGGGUGAGUAACACGUGAGUAACCUGCCCUUGUCUUUCGGAUAACUUCACGAAACUGGGGCUAAUACCGGAUAGGAGCUCCUGCUGCAUGGUGGGGGAUGGAGAGUUUCGGCGGUUGUGGAUGGUUUCGCGGCUUAUCAGCUUGUUGGUGGGGUAGUGGCUUACCAAGGCUUUGACGGGUAGCCGGCCUGAGAGGGGGAACGGCCACAAGGGUACUGAGGGAGGGCCCAGAAUGGUACGGGAGGCAGCGGUGGGGAGUAUGGCACAAUGGGCGGAAGCGAGAGGUAGCAACGCCGCGAGCGGGAUAACGGCUUUCGGGGUGUAAACCGCUUUGGCCUGUGACGAAGCGGGAGUGACGGUAAUGGGUAAAGAAGCACCGGCUAACUACGUG
rnacentral:rRNA from 1 species